CCGAGCGAGGGCCCCCGGCCCGACCUCCAACCCUUUGUUGACCAACACCCGUUGCCUCGGGGGCGACCCGGACUCCGCGCCGGCGCCCCCGGUGGACCACAUUGACCCUGUGUCCGUACGUCGGAGUCGAUAGCAAAUCAAUCA
rnacentral:misc_RNA from 1 species